GGGCCCAUAGCUCAGUCGGUAGAGCAGCGGCCUUUUAAGCCGUUGGUCGCGAGUUCGAAUCUCGCUGGGCUCA
rnacentral:tRNA from 1 species